rnacentral:piRNA from 1 species
UUAAAUUACAUGUUUGCAAAAGU